AUUGAACGCUGGCGGCAUGCCUUACACAUGCAAGUCGAACGGCAGCACGGGGGCAACCCUGGUGGCGAGUGGCGAACGGGUGAGUAAUGCAUCGGAACGUGCCCAGUAGCGGGGGAUAACCAGUCGAAAGACUGGCUAAUACCGCAUACGACCCAAGGGUGAAAGCGGGGGACCGUAAGGCCUCGCGCUAUUGGAGCGGCCGAUGUCUGAUGAGCUAGUUGGCGGGGUAAGAGCCCACCAAGGCGACGAUCAGUAGCUGGUCUGAGAGGACGACCAGCCACACUGGGACUGAGACACGGCCCAGACUCCUACGGGAGGCAGCAGUGGGGAAUUUUGGACAAUGGGCGCAAGCCUGAUCCAGCCAUGCCGCGUGCGGGAAGAAGGCCUUCGGGUUGUAACCGCUUUUGGCAGGAACGAAACGGCGCAGGCCAAUACCUUGCGCUAAUGACGGUACCUGCAGAAUAAGCACCGGCUAACUACGUGCCAGCCGCCGCCGUAAGAC
rnacentral:rRNA from 1 species